GACAAAAUUGGUUGCGUUCUUCACCAGUCCCAAUUCAAGUGGAAGAAACUAUGGCUGAAAUUGAAGCAAUUGAAUCUGAUGAGAAUGUAGUAGCUGGUUAGCACUUGGAAGCAGCAUGCAGCCAUUCAUGAUGCAACAGAAUGUCUCACUGAGUCACUGGUGGGGAAUAUGCUUUUUGUGUGAGGCUGUGAGCAGCUACAAUGGAGGCUGUUGCUGAUGAUGCUGCAUAAUGGACUAUUAGUAUUAGAUUUCAUAUCAAGUUAUCAACUAUUAGUGAAUGAUUUGGAUUGUUGAAUGUGUUCUUUUUUGUAAUUCUAAUGGAGUAACUGAAUUUGUGGGAUAUAAUAUUUUUAUAUUUUGUGUUUA